CAAUCAUAGUGAACAGGUUGUUAAUCUGUUAUCAUACCAAUCAUAGUGAACAGGUUGUUAAUCUGUUAUCAUACCAAUCAUAGUGAACAGGUUGUUAAUCUGUUAUCAUACCAAUCAUAGUGAACAGGUUGUUAAUCUGUUAUCAUACCAAUCAUAGUGCUCAGGUUGUUAAUCUGUUAUCAUACCAAUCAUAGUGAACAGGUUGUUAAUCUGUUAUCAUACCAAUCAUAGUGAACAGGUUGUUAAUCUGUUAUCAUACCAAUCAUAGUGAACAGGUUGUUAAUCUGUUAUCAUACCAAUCAUAGUGAACAGGUUGUUAAUCUGUUAUCAUACCAAUCAUAGUGAACAGGUUGUUAAUCUGUUAUCAUACCAAUCAUAGUGAACAGGUUGUUAAUCUGUUAUCAUACCAAUCAUAGUGAACAGGUUGUUAAUCUGUUAUCAUACCAAUCAUAGUGAACAGGUUGUUAAUCUGUUAUCAUACCAAUCAUAGUGAACAGGUUGUUAAUCUGUUAUCAUACCAAUCAUAGUGAACAGGUUGUUAAUCUGUUAUCAUACCAAUCAUAGUGAACAGGUUGUUAAUCUGUUAUCA